rnacentral:rRNA from 1 species
AUGAGUCAUACUAUCAAAAUAUUAUAUAAGCCACGCCGGAUGAUUAUAGGUAACUUAUAUCAAGAACUUUGUUUUAGCAGCACAAUUCGGAUAACUUGCAGUUUUAUACCAACGAAAAAACUAUUACAUACCAGAUCAAACAUAGAAGCCAGGCUGAACAUUGCGAUCUUACAGAUCUGCCAAGUGCAUCCUCAUGAAAUAGAUAGUAGCGUCGCUGAUAAAAAAAGUAGAUUGGCCAAUCUAGGUAGCAUCAGAAGUUGUCUCCAUCGGAAAGAACACUGCCUAAUGCCAUCUUCCAGAAAGCUGGACAUGCAAAAAAUGACAAGAAAUUAG